AUUGCAUCAACCAUUAGCAAAUGUUCCCUUAGAGCCCUGCGUUAAGACCUUCCGUGUCCCCUAUUCACUUCCCUUACGAGGCCCCUCCCUUUUAUGUCCCUUCGUCCCAAAACCCACUUCCCUGCACCUCCCUUAAGACCCCCCCUAUCUUCGAGCCUCACUUUCUUGCACCAUUUCCUAGUCUGCUCGUGUGCCUAAAUUAAAUUUCAAGAUUCUCCAUCUCUCUCUCCUUUUCUUUAUUUUUUCUAUGUUACCAUACCAUGGCAUCAUCUGGAAGUAGCUCCCGUUCUCCCUGCGGAGCAUGCAAGUUUCUCCGGCGAAAAUGUGUG
rnacentral:misc_RNA from 1 species